GUUCUCUUGAAUUAAUUAGGAGAUCUAACCUGCCCNCUGAAUGAAAAUAUUUGAAGGGCCGCAGUAUUUUGACUGUGCAAAGGUAGCAUAAUCAUUAGUCUUUUAAUUGAGGGCUAGAAUGAAUGGUUGGACGAGACAAAUACUUUAUCACUUUAAUGUAAAAUUGAAUUUAGAUUUUAAGUAAAAAUACUUAAAUGUUAAUAAGGGACGAGAAGACCCUAUAGAGUUUAAUAUACCAAAUUUAAAUUGAGUUUAUUCAAAAUUUUUGAUUUUUUAUGUAGUGUAUUUAAUUGGGGUGAUGAAAAGAUAAAAUUAACUCUUUUUAAUAAUAAAUUGUUUGAGAAGUUUUAUGAUCCAUUAAUUAAUGAUUAGAAGAUUAAAUUACCUUAGGGAUAACAGCAUAAUUUUUUUUGAGAGCUCUUAUUGAAAAAAAAGAUUGUGACCUCGAUGUUGGAUUAAGAGAAGUUUUAGGUGUAGAUGUCUAAAGAUUAGGUCUGUUCGACCUUUAAAUUCUUACA
rnacentral:rRNA from 1 species